CUCUUUAAUCAUAAAUGCUCUUUCAUAAUCAACUUUUUAAUUUCCCUCUCUAUGCUUCGUGUUAGACUUAAUCACAUCAUUGCUUUUGUUACCCAAAAUGGCGGCAUACAGUGGUUUUCACCUGCACUUGUAACUGGCGUUUGAGUAUUGUUGGCACACUCACCGGAAGAAUGUUCCCCAUGGUAGCUCAUCCAUUCUGGUUGUGUUGCUCUGUGCACCCUUCUGCACGAAAAGUCAUCCUUCUUCAGCUUGUAACAGUGCAGCUUUUAUUUGAAAUAAAAGUUUAUCCUCUGUGG
rnacentral:lncRNA from 1 species